rnacentral:rRNA from 1 species
UACAGAGGGGGCCAGCGUUAUUCGGAAUUAUUGGGCGUAAAGGGCGCGUAGGCGGCCAUGCGUGUCUUCCGUGAAAUCCCUCGGCUUAACUGAGGACGUGCGGAAGAAACUGCAAGGCUUGAGUCCGGGAGAGGGGGGUGGAAUUCCCAGUGUAGCGGUGAAAUGCGUAGAUAUUGGGAGGAACACCGGUGGCGAAGGCGGCCCCCUGGACCGGUACUGACGCUGAUGCGCGAAAGCGUGGGUAGCAAACGGG